GAAGUGCGAAAAGUGUCAUGACUUGCAGAUUCCCGAGAGCUGACGAAUCUCUGAAUGCAAAAGGCGGCCGAUUCAUCCCGGCCAUGGAUUGCAGAGUGUAGUUUGUUCCGACUCUUCAUCUCUUCUCCUCUCUUUCGCGAGAGAGACCAAGAAGAGCAUCUGCGCUUGAGGGGCACACUGCUCUUCGAGCGUGAAGAUCCCGGAGUAGGGUGCCAUCUCCUUGAUGAUUGCAUCCUCACUUCGAACUCGAUGUGAUUCCAUUUGUCACACACUCCAACCUAUACACUCUAGGUACCACCUCUGCAAUGCAGGAGGACCCGCUGAACUUAA
rnacentral:misc_RNA from 1 species